rnacentral:rRNA from 1 species
CACAAAYGACUCUCGGCAACGGAUAUCUCGGCUCACGCAUCGAUGAAGAACGUAGCAAAAUGCGAUACUUGGUGUGAAUUGCAGAAUCCCGUGAACCAUCGAGUUUUUGAACGCAAGUUGCGCCCGAAGCCUUUCGGCYGAGGGCACGUCUGCCUGGGCGUCACAC